GUCGUGAUCCGUUGUCAAGAUUGGAGCAAUUGGAGUCCGGCGUGAAUUCGAAGGGUGCAUCGAGGGAGUCACAGAAUCUAUACCAGUUCGUCGAGCAGCAGGUGAGGCCUCAUCUGCACUGGGUGUAGCAAGUUGGAAUCCACCUCUGGGGUCUUGGCAGUUCCGGCGAUUUCAUUGCGUACUGUCUACCGUUAGGUCACCCAUACUAGCCCCAUCUGUAAUUAGUGAACCAAUUCAUGUGUGUUUCACACACACACAAAUGCUGCUCUACUGCUCGUAGAGCAUCAUACCAAUAUGGCAAGUUCAGAAGUUCGAACAAGGGGACACCCCACCCCCUCGGCCUUCAAAAAUAUUUUUGGCUACACCACUGCCAUACUGUAAAACAAUGGGCUUGGAAACAAAACAGAUCUAGGCUUUCUGACUGAUUAAACUUUAGUUAAAUGAAUAUUUGCCUGAUGACGAUCACCAAAGUAGCAGUGCAUGAAUUUCUUCAGCACUUAAUUGUGACAAUGAAUGUACAUGAAUGUCUAUUUUUGGUCGAGUCUUUAUUAGAGUAUAUUUCUACUGUGCUUAUAUUUAUUUGUGUGCAUGUUGGUGCAUGUGCAUGUAUUUGUGUGCAUGUGCAUGUUAUGCUGUGUGCUAUCUAAUAAUUAUGCAAGAAAGAUUUGUGUUUAUUUUGUGGAAAUAGGAGGCAGUCACUUAUUUAGGUGUCCUUUAGCAUCUCAAUUUUUUUCUUUUUAUCCAAAAAUGGAAAUAAAGUA